UGGGGAAUAUUGCACAAUGGGCGAAAGCCUGAUGCAGCAACGCCGCGUGAGUGAUGAAGGCCUUCGGGUUGUAAAGCUCUGUCUUUUGGGACGAUAAUGACGGUACCAAAGGAGGAAGCCACGGCUAACUACGUGCCAGCAGCCGCGGUAAUACGUAGGUGGCAAGCGUUGUCCGGAUUUACUGGGCGUAAAGGAUGCGUAGGCGGAUUUUUAAGUGAGAUGUGAAAUACCCGGGCUUAACUUGGUGCUGCAUUCAAACUGGGAAUCUAGGUGCGGGAGAGGAGAAUGGAAUUCCUAGUGUAGCGGUGAAAUGCGUAGAGAUUAGGAAGAACACCAGUGGCGAAGGCGAUUCUCUGGACCGUAACUGACGCUGAGGCAUGAAAGCGUGGGUA
rnacentral:rRNA from 1 species